UUCCGGUUGAUCCUGCCGGAGGCUACCGCUAUUGGAGUUCGAUUAAGCCAUGCGAGUCGAGAGUCUUAGGGACUCGGCGCACCGCUCAGUAACACGUGGGUAACCUGCCCUAUGCUGGGGGAUAACCUCGGGAAACUGAGAAUAAUACCCCAUAGUUCACCACGCCUGGAACGGUGGGUGGAUCAAAGCUCCGGCGGCAUAGGAUGGGCCUGCGACGUAUCAGGUUGUAGGGGGUGUAACGUACCCUCUAGCCAUCAACGCGUACGGGUGUUGGGAGACAUAGCCCGGAGAUGGAUUCUGAGACACGAAUCCAGACCCUACGGGGUGCAGCAGGCGCGAAAACUUGGCAAUGCGAGCAAUCGUGACCAGGGAACUCCAAGUGGCUGGGGUAAUACCCAGUUUUUUUCUUGACUCUUCAAAGGUCUUGGAAUAAGGGGUGGGUAAGGACGGUGCCAGCCGCCGCGGUAAUACCGGCGCCUCAAGUGGUAGUCGCUUUUAUUGGGCCUAAA
rnacentral:rRNA from 1 species